rnacentral:rRNA from 1 species
AACGAACGCUGGCGGCAUGCCUAACACAUGCAAGUCGAACGAGACCUUCGGGUCUAGUGGCGCACGGGUGCGUAACGCGUGGGAACCUGCCCUUAGGUUCGGCAUAACUCCCCGAAAGGGGUGCUAAUACCGGAUAAUGUCUUCGGACCAAAGAUUUAUCGCCUUUGGAUGGGCCCGCGUUGGAUUAGCUAGUUGGUAGGGUAAAAGCCUACCAAGGCGACGAUCCAUAGCUGGUCUGAGAGGAUGAUCAGCCACACUGGGACUGAGACACGGCCCAGACUCCUACGGAAGGCAGCAGUGGGGAAUAUUGGACAGUGGGCGAAAGCCUGAUCCAGCAAUGCCGCGUGAGUGAUGAAGGCCUUAGGGUUGUAAAGCUCUUUUACCCGGGAUGAUAAUGACAGUACCGGAAGAAUAAGCUCCGGCUAACUCCGUG